CGCCGAGGCCCGGCCGGAGCGGGAGCCCAGGCGCGGCGGGCGCGGUGGCCGGGGCCAGGGGCGCGGGCCGGCGAAGAUGGCGAACGUGGGGCUGCAGUUCCAGGCGAGCGCCGGGGACGCGGACCCGCAGAGCCGGCCGCUGCUCCUGCUCGGGCAGCUGCACCACCUGCACCGCGUGCCCUGGAGCCACGUCCGCGGGAAGCUGCUGCCCCGGGUCACCGAGGAGCUCUGGCAGGCUGCCCUAAGCACGCUCAACCCCAGCCCCACGGACAGCUGUCCCCUCUACCUGAACUAUGCCACCGUGGCCGCCCUGCCCUCCAGGGUGAGCCGGCACAAUAGCCCCUCGGCCGCGCAUUUCGUCACCCGGCUCGUGCGGACCUGCCUGCCGCCGGGAACCCAUCGGUGCAUUCUGAUGGUCUGUGAGCGGUCGGACGCCUUCGCCUCGGCCUGUGCCCUGGCCCGCGCUUUCCCACUCUUCACCCAACGCUCGGGGGCAUCACGGCGCCCGGAGAAGAAGACCGUCACAGUGGAGUUUUUCCUGGUGGGACAAGACAACGGGCCAGUGGAAGUGUCCACUUUGCAAUGUUUAACAAGCGCCACAGAAGGCGUGCGGCUGGCAGCCCGCAUCGUGGACACGCCCUGCAACGAGAUGGACACAGACACCUUCCUCGAGGAGAUUAAGAAAGUUGGAAAAGAACUGGGGAUCGUCCCAACUGUUAUCCGGGACGAGGAGCUGAAGACGAGAGGGUUUGGAGGGAUCUACGGUGUGGGCAAGGCUGCCCUCCACCCCCCAGCCCUAGCCGUCCUCAGCCACACCCCAGACGGAGCCACCCAGACCAUCGCGUGGGUGGGCAAGGGCAUCGUCUACGACACCGGGGGUCUCAGCAUGAAGGGGAAGACCACCAUGCCGGGGAUGAAGAGGGACUGCGGAGGCGCCGCGGCCGUGCUGGGGGCCUUCCGAGCCGCCGUCAAGCAGGGUUUCAAAGACACUCUCCAUGCCGUGUUCUGCUUGGCUGAGAACUCGGUGGGACCCAGCGCCACGAGGCCGGACGACAUCCACCUGCUGUACUCAGGAAAGACUGUGGAAAUCAACAACACGGAUGCCGAGGGCAGGCUGGUGCUGGCAGAUGGCGUGUCCUACGCGUGCAAGGACCUGGGCGCCGACAUCAUCCUGGACAUCGCCACGCUGACCGGAGCUCAGGGCAUCGCCACGGGCAAGUACCACGCGGCAGUGCUCACCAACAGCGCCGAGUGGGAGGCGGCCUGCAUGAAGGCCGGGCGGCAGUGCGGGGACCUGGUGCACCCGCUCGUCUACUGCCCGGAGCUGCACUUCAGCGAGUUCACCUCGGCCGUGGCCGACAUGAAGAACUCAGUGGCGGACCGGGACAACAGCCCCAGCUCCUGCGCCGGCCUUUUCAUCGCCUCGCACAUCGGCUUCGACUGGCCCGGGGUCUGGGUCCACCUGGACAUCGCCGCGCCCGUGCACGCCGGUGAGCGGGCCACGGGCUUCGGUGUGGCCCUCCUGCUGGCACUCUUCGGCCGGGCCUCUGAGGACCCUCUGCUGAACCUGGUGUCCCCGCUAGGCUGUGAGGUGGACGCCCAGGAGGGGGACGCGGAGAGGGACACCAAGAAGCGCAGGCUCGUGUGACGCGGCUGCCCCGCCCGGCGACACUGGGCUCUUUACCUCACUUUGCACUGAUUACUUCCCGUUUUAGAAAGCAACCCUGACGCCUGCCCAUGGGCCUGAGGCUCCGGGAUGCCACCACCUUCUCCCAAACCAGCAUCUGGCUUUGAGAUGCAGCUUGUCAACCUCGUUUUUACAGAUGAGCAAGCACCCUGGGGCCCUCGGGUCCAGGCCUGCACAGCCUGGGCCAUCUUGGAUCUGAGGGUUUGGAGUGCAGCCUCCUUGGGCUCUUAGGGCUUUCCCACGACCUGCAGUCUGCAGGGAAGGCUGUCCUGACCCCCCGAGCACAUCUCGAGGCAAGUGUUGUACGGGUCCAAGUGAAGGUCCCCCCCGGGCAUGUCCCUAGGUGCUGAAGGGCCCGGUCUGGCCAGGUUUCAGGGAGACCCCCGACCUGGGCCAAGCGGAGGAGAUCGGGGACUCGGGCCCCACCCGGCAUGGAGGCGGCUGCCCACGCCUCCUCUGCUGGGGACAGGAGGGCGAGAACGUGGCUGCAGGACACUCGUCCCCAGGCUGUGCCCUGACAAUCAAGGUGACUCUUUCUGGGUUUGGUCCCAAGCAUGUAUUUAAUAACUGCCUGCUGUGGGCACAGCCCUGACUGGGCCUGGGAAAGGCAAGCGGCGGCUCCGAGGCCCCAGCCCCAUCUGGGAAAACCGUGGCCCACGUGUUAAGUCGCAAUAAUCGUGGUCACAAGGCGCUCGGUGGGCCGCGCCGUGAGCUCAGGGAGGCGCAGCGGCCGGGGGGGCCAGGAGCCUUCACGGGUCAUUAGCGUGCUUAAUGGCCUUGAAGUAGGCAGCUCGCUCCAGCUUCCCCCUGAGAAGCCCUGGAGGAGCCAGAGGUCACCGAGGUGGUCCAGCUCCUCCUCCGGGCAGCUGGCACUGUCCUUUCCCCGCCCCCAUUCCCCCCCCACCCACCCCGCAGAGGCUGCAGGAUGCAGGGUCAGGGAGCAGGGGAGGAACUGAGUCUCCCUUGUGCGGGCACAAAGGCGACCUCAGGCCCGGGGACUCAGCUGGGGAGCAGCUGCAAGGGCUUGGCAUCAGGGGCACCCAGGGCUGAGGCAAAGACCCUGCUUCUCCGAGGCCAAAGGGCCUGAGGACGUGACGGCUGCUUCCCACGGCCCCUCUGGAGCCCCGGCAACAGGGUGGUUUGUGGGCCGGCGGGCGCCGGUGCGUCCACUUGAUCACGGUCUCGGGCGAGCGGUACAGGAAGAUGAGCCUGGCCGACAGCUCCUGCUCCAGCUGCAGCUCGCCCAGCUCGCGGACCAGGAAGAUGGCAGCGCAGAGCCCGAGCACGCGGCGCACGUCGGGCGGCUGGUUGUACAUGAUGGACCGGGCGAUACCGAGGAAGUGCUUGUGGAUGAACUUGGCCGCGACCAUCACCACCGACACGUAGAGCCCGACGAGGCUGGGUGGGGGGCCCCCCGUCAGCGCCACUGUCCCAGGACAGCAGUCACAGCCCCCGACUCAGCCUGGCUGGAUAGGGGCGCGAGUGCUAGCCGCUCACGGCCCCCGAGGCCUCCUGUGAGUGGGUCUGGGGUUCCAACCCCGCCUGAGGUUGGAGGGCGGGGUGAUGGGCACCCGUGGAGCAGACACACGUUACCCUGCAGACAGGAAUGAGGGACAGGACGGUGGGAAUGUCCCUUUCUGCUAGUGGCUUGUGUGACGGUAAACCACCGUCUUGGUAUGUUUCUGAGGCCAAGGGAACAGGGGCUUGUGCCCCCCCCUCCUGGGGCAGUUCUGGAGAGCAGGGGUGAGAAGGGACCGGAAGGUUCUGAAGAGCCCAGGGCAUGAGGCAGGUUCCUAGAGCCUGGGGAGCCUUACCCGUAUCCCGCCAGGAAGCCCAGGCUCUGGGGGCUGACUUUGUCGUUAAAGAUGAUCAGCUCCAUGUCCUGGCUGCAGCCCCGGCUCUGGUCACAGCCUGGCCGCCACUCCCGGACACCCCGCCACUCGGCCACCGGGCUGGCUGUGAGGGCCUCCGCUGGCCUCAGCUGCUGCAUCCGGACUGUGGCAUUGCAGAAGAAGGCCAGGCGGUCCACGUCCCAGGACCCGUGGGAGUGGGCUGUGCAGGAGAGACAGCAUCAGGCCCUGGGGACGUCUGCAGGCUCGGGAAGACCCAGUGUCACCCAAGAUGACCAUAUCAGAAAACUUGCCUCGGAUGGGCCCGACAUGGACGUUCAGGGGAGCGAAACCUCUAACGUUCUCCCCGGCUCUCCCCAUAGGCAAUGCAGCCUCCACUCAGGCACAGCCUGGCCCUGCACCCAAAAUGCACCCCUUUUUCCUGCCUUGUUCAGGGGCCCCCCACCUGGAGGCCCCUUCCCCAGCCGGCCCCUGGCAGUACCUCCCGAUGGGCCGGUAGUUGUGGCCUCGCUGGAAGGCUCAGCCUUGGCCCCUGGUGCACACUGAUGCACCCCUCAGAGCUCUCGGGGCCCCCAGGAGCACAUCUGCGACCCCACCAGCCCCCUCCCCCAAUCCACGUUGGUUGAGUUGGAAUUUGCUGCAUGAUGCUCUGCCCAGAACCUCUGUUCAGACUGUUCCCUGGCGAAUUGAUGUUCAGCAGUUCUGUUUAUUUGU